UACGUAGGGACCAAGCGUUGUUCGGAUUUACUGGGCGUAAAGGGCGCGCAGGCGGCGUGGUAAGUCACUUGUGAAAUCUCUGAGCUUAACUCAGAACGGCCAAGUGAUACUGCUGUGCUAGAGUGCAGAAGGGGCAAUCGGAAUUCUUGGUGUAGCGGUGAAAUGCGUAGAUAUCAAGAGGAACACCUGAGGUGAAGACGGGUUGCUGGGCUGACACUGACGCUGAUGCGCGAAAGCCAGGGGAGCAAACGGG
rnacentral:rRNA from 1 species